UACGUAGGGUGCAAGCGUUGUCCGGAAUUAUUGGGCGUAAAGAGCUCGUAGGCGGUUUGUCGCGUCUGCUGUGAAAAACUCGGGGCUUAACUCCGGGCCUGCAGUCGAUACUGGGAAGCUCGAGUUCGGUAGAGGACGGCGGAAUUCCCGGUGUAGCGGUGAAAUGCGUAGAUAUCGGGAGGAACAUCGAUGGCGAAAGCAACCGUCUGGGCCUGAACUGACACUGAGACACGAAAGCGUGGGAGCAAACAGG
rnacentral:rRNA from 1 species